AUCACGCGCCUACUACUCUCAAUCCUCCACAAAAUUUUUAUUUUUCAAUCUUUUAUUUUUUCUUCCAAAAUAUCAUCUGCCUCCUCAAUCCUCCACAAAAUCUUUAUUUUUCAGAACAAUGGUUGGACCAUAAUCAUUUGAUGGAGGAGUCUAUAUACCACUGGUUAUUUGCUUUCUCGAAAAGGGCUGAUAUUGUGUUCUGUGUUUGUUGUGGAGAUAUGGUAGCAGAGUUUGUGAGCUGUCCUUUUUGAUACAGGUUGGACCGUCCUGCUAUUUGGAUAAUCUGCAUUUAGAAAGAACAAAAAACUAUCAGAAGGUAUCGAUUAAAGUGUGAGAAGAAGAUGCAAGAGGAUUGCAUCUAUUCUGUAUUGUGCUAUGUACUGUGCUAUGUAUGUGCAAUAAUAUAUAAAUACAUCGGAAAUAACAAACAAAAAAAUAAUAAAAGGAAUGCUAUGCAAAUUAAAGUAGGAGUUAAGCUAUGUACAAAAGAAAAAUAUUAGAUAAUAUUCACAUACCUUAAUUAUCUGCAAAAUAUAAAUAAAAAAUGUUAGAUAAUAUUAUCAUACCUUAAAUAUCUGCAAA